rnacentral:rRNA from 1 species
UACGUAGGGUGCGAGCGUUAAUCGGAAUUACUGGGCGUAAAGCGUGCGCAGGCGGUUUUGUAAGACAGAUGUGAAAUCCCCGGGCUUAACCUGGGAACUGCAUUUGUGACUGCAAGGCUAGAGUACGGCAGAGGGGGGUAGAAUUCCACGUGUAGCAGUGAAAUGCGUAGAGAUGUGGAGGAAUACCGAUGGCGAAGGCAGCCCCCUGGGAUAACACUGACGCUCAUGUACGAAAGCGUGGGUAGCAAACAGG